rnacentral:lncRNA from 1 species
GACUCCACAUCUUGUGGAUGGUUAAAGAAGCAUACCACCAUGUUGUAGUCACUGAGGAGCAGCUGCGAUGUAGGAUUAUAUCCGGAUUGGAUCCUCCCCUACGAAGCAACCAAGCAUCAGAGAAUCAAUCUUGAUGUAAUACAGCUUCUACCCCUUCUGUUCGUGUUGCUGCUGAUAUGAGGUCCGCAAAGCCAGCCUCAAUGGGAUCUUCUACACUGUGAUGCUACAAUUAUGACG